rnacentral:snoRNA from 1 species
AUACCAUGAUGAAGACACCUUCUGAGCAGUUCUUUAAAUCUCUCCCAAGCCUCAUAUAAACUCUCAUCUUCUAGUUCACGAAAGGAAGUGAUCUCAUUCCUCAAUUU